CCUACGGGUGGCAGCAGUGAGGAAUAUUGGUCAAUGGCCGGAAGUCUGAACCAGCCAAGCCGCGUGAAGGACGAAGGUGCCAAGCAUUGUAAACUUCUUUUGUCAAGGGACAAAAUCAGGCUCGAGAGCCUGACCGAGGGUACUUGAAGAAACAGCAUCGGCUAACUCCGUGCCAGCAGCCGCGGUAAUACGGAGGAUGCGAGCGUUAUCCGGAUUUAUUGGGUUUAAAGGGUGCGUAGGCGGGCUGUUAAGUCAGCGGUAAAAGCCCGGUGCUCAACCCCGGCGAGCCGUUGAAACUGGCUGUCUUGAGAUGUCGAGAGGUAUGCGGAAUGCGCAGUGGAGCGGUGAAAUGCUUAGAUAUUGCGCAGAACUCCGAUUGCGAAGGCAGCAUACCGGCGGCGAUCUGACGCUGAGGCACGAAAGCGUGGGUAUCGAACAGGAUUAGAUACCCCUGUAGUC
rnacentral:rRNA from 1 species